AGCCAUAUAUACAUGCUUGCUAGACCUUGAGCCACACAUUUACUAUUUACUGCUUAUGAGCAUUGAGUGUGGUCAAGCUGUGUAGACCCUUAGGAGCUUGUCAUGUGGUUAAAUCAAGAUUCACUUGCACGUUCACUCAUACAUGCUACUUCUACUCCGGAAGUACCAUCCACAUAUAUCCACUCAUUUCCAUCUCCAAAACCACCCAAAAGUAUUCUACUCCUAAUCCGGGAGAGAAUAACCAAAAAUAUUUCUGUUUCCCCUUGUGAAAUAAAUGCUCAAGUUAUCUUGUUACUACCACUUGUGAUAUUAUCUCAAGAGAUGAAUGCUCUGAAAAAAAAGGGAGAGAAAAAGAAAAUAAAAGAUACGAGGAAAUAAAAAGGGGCAAGUGCCCGGAACCUCGAAGAAAAGAAAAAGUGAGACGAGAGGUAAAAAUGGACAAGUGUCCGACAGUAGAAUUAGGGGUACAAGAUACCCACCUGAGAGGAAAGAAAAAGAAAAUAUAGAGCAUCUCAUUCUCCCCAAAAAGCUUCAAAGUGCAAGAAAGGUAUGUAUCCCCUCAAAAGAGCAUAAAAAAUAGAAUUAGACUUUCACCAUUAUUAUCAUCAUCAUCACCAUACACCAUUCAUUCGCCACACAUGCAUAUCUUGAUUUGGCUUAUUGAUUUGUUUCUUUGGAUCCAUGGUUUGACUAUGCAAUAAAUGUCUUGUAAGUAUGUAUACUUUAUCUCCCACCUAUGAGCUCCAGAUAUUAAAGCCUUAUUAGAGUAGGGUGAGAGAGAAGACAAUGUCACUAUGCUUCAUACCACAAAUACUACAUAUCUUGAGAGAAGGCAUAUACCAUCACUGCCUUGGUAAGGAUCCAAAAAUACCACAAAAGAGAGAUCUGAGAGAAUCAUACAAGGAAUUUCUGAGUUUUAUUUGAAAAUCUGCAAAAACCCCAGAGCUAUAGCUGAUCAAGAAUAAGAGACAUGGCACUUGGCUAGACUGUUCUAUCUUUUAACCACUCAAGACACAAGUGACGGUUACAAGCUCCAUGGUGAAAGGUAAAAUGAGUAAGUUUUAAGUCUUAACAGUUUAUUCUAACUCAGAGAUGAGAUCUUGCUUAAAUGCGUGUGUACUUCUAAGAAAUGAAACCACUGCAGAAACACUUGAGUUCAUCCUUGCUCAGGGACGAGCAAGAGGUAAGCUUGGGGGAGUUUGUUGAUGGUCCUUAAGUAUCAAAUUUAAUUAUCAAAUAAACAAAGAAAAGGAUCCAAAUGAAAUCAACAUCUAGACUUAGGGUUUUAUCUGACAGAAUUCCACGAGUUUUGGUGUUUGUCUAUUUCUGUAGGGGGUUAUCAGGAAAUAAGGAAGAAAGGCCCACAUGUCGGGAUUACAUAGAGAUAUCAACCCACCACACAAUUUUAUACCAUCUUGAAGACUCCAGAAGCCACGGGAAGGAAGCGGAGUCCGAAAGGGGCCAGGCCCAGGGCGCCCGCCCUGAGGACCUGGGCGCCCGCCCACCUCUGGACUCCGUUCCGGACUCUAUUCGCACACGACGUUCCAUCGACCUAUUGGAUCCAGAAUAACAUAGUACCACCUCGCCUAUCGACCCAAAAACGCAUAGAAGGAGAGGACUAUAUAAGGAGACCCCCUAUGGCCCCUGGAAGAGACAAGAAAUUAUCAUAGAGAUUGAGGGGUGAAGGAAAACCUCUUCUCUAAAUAAUAUUUCUUUUUAGGCUUAGCAACCAAUGUAAAGUAGAAAUAGAUCUUCUAGUUUCUACUAGAUUGAGAGAUAGAGUGGAGGUGU
rnacentral:lncRNA from 1 species